CGCGGAGUGGAGCAGUCUGGUAGCUCGUUGGGCUCAUAACCCGAAGGUCGGAGGUUCAAAUCCUCCCUCCGCAA
rnacentral:tRNA from 1 species